AGUGAGCGGCACAGCUCARAUUUGAAAUCUGGCUUCGGCCCGAGUUGUAAUUUGCAGAGGAAGCUUUAGGCGCGGCACCUUCUGAGUCCCCUGGAACGGGGCGCCAUAGAGGGUGAGAGCCCCGUAUAGUUGGAUGCCUAGCCUGUGUAAAGCUCCUUCGACGAGUCGAGUAGUUUGGGAAUGCUGCUCAAAAUGGGAGGUAAAUUUCUUCUAAAGCUAAAUACCGGCCAGAGACCGAUAGCGCACAAGUAGAGUGAUCGAAAGAUGAAAAGCACUUUGAAAAGAGGGUUAAAUAGCACGUGAAAUUGUUGAAAGGGAAGCGCUUGUGACCAGACUUGCGCCGGGCGGAUCAUCCGGUGUUCUCACCGGUGCACUCCGCCCGGCUCAGGCCAGCAUCGGUUCUCGCGGGGGGAUAAAGGCCCUGGGAACGUAGCUCCUCCGGGAGUGUUAUAGCCCGGGGCGUAAUGCCCUCGCGGGGACCGAGGUUCGCGCAUCUGCAAGGAUGCUGGCGUAAUGGUCAUCAGCGACCCGUCUUGAAACACGGACCAAGGAGUCAAGGUUUUGCGCGAGUGUUUGGGUGUAAAACCCGCACGCGUAAUGAAAGUGAACGUAGGUGAGAGCUUCGGCGCAUCAUCGACCGAUCCUGAUGUUUUCGGAUGGAUUUGAGUAGGAGCGUUAAGCCUUGGACCCGAAAGAUGGUGAACUAUGCUUGGAUAGGGUGAAGCCAGAGGAAACUCUGGUGGAGGCUCGCAGCGGUUCUGACGUGCAAAUCGAUCGUCAAAUCUGAGCAU
rnacentral:rRNA from 1 species